UACGAAGGGUGCAAACGUUGCUCGGAAUUAUUGGGCGUAAAGCGCACGUAGGCGGCAUAGCAAGUCGAAUGUGAAAUCCCUCGGCUUAACCAAGGAAGUGCAUCCGAAACUGCUGUGCUUGAGUACGAAAGAGGAUCGCGGAAUUCCCGGUGUAGAGGUGAAAUUCGUAGAUAUCGGGAGGAACACCAGUGGCGAAGGCGGCGAUCUGGGUCGAUACUGACGCUGAGGUGCGAAAGCGUGGGGAGCGAACAGG
rnacentral:rRNA from 1 species